rnacentral:lncRNA from 1 species
UGGUGUUUCAAUUUUUUAAAUUUUUUAAAAGAUUUUCAGGCUCAAUAAAAUAAAAUUAAAUACUUUGUCUUUAAACAAUGUUUUAUUAGUUUCACUGAUCUGAAAAUGUACAAAAAUAUGCUUGUAUGAAAUUACAAUUAUAUGCUCACCACUGGGCUCCAUACUGUGUGUUCUUCUUGUGUUUAUUUUAGAACGAACUUUUUCCACGAAAAUAGGUGACGUACUUGGCAUCAUAUGCCGAUUUGUGUACACUAGAAAUGUAGGUCAUAUAAAAAAAACUAGCUAACGGUAAGAAUCAAACUACCUUGUAUUAUUUUAAUGAAGUUCUAAGGUAACAUUAUCGACAUAUAAAACAAAUUGUUGUUUUUUAGUUUUACCGCAUUCCGUGUGAAUAGUCUUAUAUCCACGAAUAUAGGUGACACUACCGUAU